GCCUUGAUGAACAUUUCACCUUUAUAGCCUGGUUAGAAAGUUAAGUUCUCUGAACAAAUGACUAGUAAUCACUUAUUGUUAGAAAGCAGAUAGAUCUGCUUCCCAUUCUUCCACCACCACCAAUUCAGGGAUGGCUUGUAUUUCUUCCAGUCACCAAGUAUUGGGGACGCUUUGGGUAUGGAGGAAGAAUCAAAUAUAUUGGUCAUAAGAAGUCGGAAAGCUUAGAACGGGAGAAGAAAAUGAUUCUCAAAGCAGUAGCACUUACCAAAUCUAAUCCCCUUGAGCUGGAACCUUCACCAGUGAUGUCUGAAGGGAGAGCUAAACUCUUCCAGAAGCCCAAGUUCAAACCUCUCCCUCUUCAAAAGCGGUGGCAAGAGAAAUUCGAUCGAUCUGAGCAGUUCCCCAAGAUGCGCGAGGUUCCCCCUUGCUCCAGUUUUCCCACCCGGCAGUGGAGGAAGGCUCAGAGCCGGGACAGCUCCAGUAGCCGGAGCAGCGUGUCCUCUGAGCGCCUGACAGUAAUGAUUAAUUUCAUCCCGCCUCCUGGGAGAGAGUCCCGCCCGGCAACUGACCAGCGGCCCAGGUGGACAGCACUGGUCACGAGACUCCUCGGCACUAGCUCCAAGAGCCUUCCGCAACUACAAAUCGGGAAAUGA
rnacentral:lncRNA from 1 species